rnacentral:rRNA from 1 species
CAGUUUUGGCGGAGCCAUCCUUGGGAUACCACCCUUGUAGUACUGGGACUCUAACCAUAGGCCAUGAAUCUGGUCUUGGGACACUGUCAGGUGGGCAGUUUGACUGGGGCGGUCGCCUCCCCAAAGGUAACGGAGGCGCUCAAAGGUUCUCUCAGUACGGUCGGAAAUCGUACGUAGAGUGUAAAGGCAAACGAGAGCUUGAUUGCAAGACAUACAGGUCGAGCAAGGAUGAAAAUCGGACUUAGUGAU